ACAGAGAGGAAACCAAGUCCUUGCCAGCACGAGCUGCGACGAUAGUGUU
rnacentral:ribozyme from 13 species